GGGCCCGUAGCUCAGCCAGGUAGAGCGGCGGGCUUUUAAAACCCGUAGGUCCCGGGUUCGAAUCCCGGCGGGCCCG
rnacentral:tRNA from 1 species